rnacentral:lncRNA from 1 species
AUACAUCAGCGAGGAAUCAAAGGUUUUGAAAAGUCAUUCAGCCCCUCCAAAUUAGAAGGCGAGCCAUCUGCACGACAGGACGGAGCUCUCCUCAAAGGCUGCAGGCCAGGGCUGGUCUCAGUGACCCCAGGAUCUCCUUUUGGCAGCUGGAUAAGGAGGGAAUGCCACCGCAAAGGAGGGAUCGUCGAGGCGAGGUUGAAGUCGUACUCAAAGGCAGCAGCAGUGCUGUGCAUCGCACAUAUCACCACCGUGAUCGGUGAACUUCUCCCCUGGAGGGACUCUCAGACCUCUGUGAGUAGCAUCCAUGAUAACUAAAGCUGGGCCUGCAUACGGUUUUAAAAGUGAUAAAAAAUCCCACAAUUGAAAAUCACUUGUUUCAG